rnacentral:misc_RNA from 1 species
GGAAUUUCCAAGUAACUGAGAUCUUCCUGUCCAAAUUUGCCAUUUAUUGGCAUCGAUCAGUAGUGUGCUAUUACAGAGUUCAGACAUCUGGUAAUGGCGGAUGGCAGACAGACAGACUCUAUGCAAACGCGAAUAUGCUUCCAAUCUAACAUGACAUCAUUAAAUAAUGUUUCCAUGUACUUCAGCUCUUCUGGGAAUCCAUCUAACAUUAAACACACAAGAAGAGCAUCCAAUGACCCAAUAAGAAGAAAAACCAAUUACAAAAUGCUUAUUUUCAUUUGCCCCUCUUCUCUAUUAUAGUCACUAGUGAGAAUACAAUAUGGAAAAGGUGGUUUCUUGGUGUUGUGGCGUGUACGUGGAACCACAAAAUUACAACACUUUUAACAGUUGUUUAGGUGAGAUCAGCUAUUCAAAGCAGGCGAUUGAUUACCAGUAACGAUCAAACUGUAAAAAAUUUUAUGGGGUAAAGAAUACAAUAUUUAACUCACUCAUCUUUCUACAUUAUCAAUUUUUGUUGAAGGAGGCUCAUCUCUAUUCCCAGAAGUGUUGCCGGUACGAAGAGCAACACGCAUGACAUAAUUCACAUGUUUCCGUAGUUUAGCAUUCUCAGUUAAUAUAUCUGCUAGCAUCUUUCUUAACUCUGGAUCUGUUGCCUCCAUACCAUCAUCCUCAGAUGUAGAAAUUUUACCAUCUUCAAACAAUGCUUGUGCCUCUGCAAGUAGAUGGCCAAUUUGAUCAUCAGACGUAGACAACAAAUCUAAAGCAUCUGCCUGUGAGGAAUCCACAAUAAAUUUAUCCUCCUUGUUAGACAAAUAGAGGUUGCACUCUUUAAGCUGGUUACAAAGAGUCCAGCAAUAAUGUAGCAACUUUUUUCGAGCAUUAUUCUCAUGCAUACUCAUUUCUCUUUCCUCUUGAAGAAGUUUCUCAACUUCAUAUUUCUCUUUCAAUGAUUGACUAAGUUUCUCCUUCAGUUCUGCCUGGGAGCUUUUGAGGGAUUUGAACUCUUUUGCCAGAUAUUUUAUAUCUGCUUUUGAUUUUGCUUCUAGCUCCUCAUACUGUUUUGACAAAUUCUCAAGCUCCUUUCUAGUAGCAUCCAACUCCUGCAAUGCUGUAUCUUUCUCCUGAUCAGUGGACCCCAUUUUUAAUCCUGCACUUGAAUUUUCAUCCUGUAAUAAUUACACAGUAUAAAUUCAAUAUAUUGUAAAAGAAAAAACAACAUUCCCUCCAACAAAUUGAUAUCACAUGUAGAACUUUGAAAAGAAAACUACUGAAGGCAAUAAAAAAAAAAAAGGAAGUAGAAGA